rnacentral:rRNA from 1 species
GUAUAUAGCCAUGCUAUCCUGAACAUGGCCAAUCUAAUCUAAUCUUGGAAGACAAGCAGAGUCAGGCCUGCUUAGAGCUUGGAUGGGAGAGGAGGGAAAGGAAUGCCUACGUCAGAGCCCAGGUCUCAGCAACU